rnacentral:rRNA from 1 species
AUUGAACGCUGGCGGCAUGCCUUACACAUGCAAGUCGAACGGUAACAGGUCUUCGGAUGCUGACGAGUGGCGAACGGGUGAGUAAUACAUCGGAACGUGCCUAGUAGUGGGGGAUAACUACUCGAAAGAGUGGCUAAUACCGCAUGAGAUCUACGGAUGAAAGCAGGGGAUCGCAAGACCUUGUGCUACUAGAGCGGCCGAUGGCAGAUUAGGUGGUUGGUGGGAUAAAAGCUUACCAAGCCGACGAUCUGUAGCUGGUCUGGGAGGACGAUCAGCCACACGGGGACGGAGAACCGGCCCAGACGCCUACGGGAGGCAGCAGUGGGGAAUUUUGGACAAUGGGCGCAAGCCUGAUCCAGCAAUGCCGCGUGCAGGAUGAAGGCCUUCGGGUUGUAAACUGCUUUUGUACGGAACGAAAAGCCCUGGGUUAAUACCCUGGGGUCAUGACGGUACCGUAAGAAUAAGCACCGGCUAACUACGUGCCAGCAGCCGCCGUAACAC